AUGAAUGGCAUACAUAAAGGAGCAGCUGAACUGUGCAGAGAGGGCGACAAAAUAUUGCUCUCUGGGGAUGCUUGUAGAGCUGCAGCUCUGUACACACAUGCUUUUGGAAAUAAUGCCGGUUCCACUGUAGGACAUAUGCGUGGCCUUAACGCAGGUCAUUUAAAGGAGGUAAUCUCAACGCUGGAGGCCUGGCUUGAUGGCGUUUCACACAGUUCUAUUGAGGGCCUGAGUAAAGGCCUUGUUGCUGUAUUUCUGUCUACAUUAUGCCCCAAUAACGUAUCUGCUUCUCUUUAUAAAUUGGAGUCUGUCCUGCAGGGUACAGGUCAUGCUUCAAAAGAGAUCUUUGCACGGUGUUCUGCUCUUCUAGAGGGAAAACAAAUGCCUAAACCUGAGGGUCGCACACGGUUAAUUCUGGAGCUAACUAGAGCUCUGGCCUGCUUGCUCUCUGACACACAAAAUCCUAAAGUUCCUCAGCUUUAUCUGCAGGCCUUUCAUGGAAAUAAAUCAGAAACUAUUAGACUAGUUAAAGAAAGGCAACAUCAGUAUGUGAAGCUAUUAAUUAAAGCCUUUUACCAGCAAAUGUCUCCAAGAUAUCCCAUUCUCCAUACUAAGGGGCAGAUGGAAAAACCAUUGAGUCCAACACAAGCAGGUGAAGACACUGAUUCUCCUAAAGCUGUUGAGUUUUUACUUGCCAUUUCACCAGAUGACAUCCAAGUAAGAGAGCUUCAAGCAGCAGUCUUGUUUUCCUCCGGAAAGUUCACAGAAAGUGCAGAAGCUUUGUCACUGGCUCUUAAACUAGGUGAAUCACAGACUGAACAUGCAAUGGCGCCAGAGAAAAGAGCUUGUUUACUCGUUGGCAGAGCAGCUGCUCAUUUUUCCGCAGGCGGACGAGCAAGAGAAGUCUGCAGAGAUCUAGGUGAUGGCUUUGCACUUCAUCCAGCCACAGCAAGACAGCAAUUCCAGAGUGUUUUUUCGGACAGUGGCGAAGGGUUGGCUGUUCGCAUCCAGCUCCGUCAACAGGCCGAGAAGGGCGUCUCAGAGUUCAGAGAGGCCGUUCUAAUGAGGCCUGACCUUAGGUCUUCGAAAGGAGUGGAGUUGUUGGAUCCCGUUAUCACUCAACUGCGAGCUCUAUGCCACCUGGAGUCGGAUGGAGGAGGCAGGGAACUGCGUGUGCGUCUGGCAGACUGCCUCCUCCUGCGUGGAGAACAUCGAGAAGCCCUUUCCAUAAGUAGCCAGCUCACCGCUGCAGCUCCAGCCCAGCAGAGCUACCAGAACACUGUGCAAGUGCUCCGAGGGUAUUCCCGACUUUUCACUGAAGACCAUAAAGGCGCUCUGGAGGAUUUCCAAGCGGUGAUUGAGCAUAGUACUCCUCACCCACCCAGCUGUGUCCGUGCACUCUGUGGUAGGGGUAUCCUGCGUAUGAUGGCUGGCUCACACUACCUUACUGCUCUAGAUUACAUUACAGCAAGCCAAUUACAGCUGCAGGAUGCUUCUGUAACUGUUAGGUGCCUGGUGCCUUGGAAUUACCGUGGGUUGCUGUGCACCGUGUUGGUGGAACAGGGAAGAGUCAUCCUUGAGGGGACCGAAGAGCAAAGAGCUGAGACAAAUCCUAGAGCUCAAAAAGAGCACGAGGAGGGGCACACCCAAAACAAACAGAGGUACAUUUGCAUUUUUUCAUUUGGAAUGACACUUAUUUGUUGUGCUGUAGCUUUUAUUUUGUCUUUUGUGUCUUAUUUAGGGAUGCACAGUAUAUCGGUACAAUCAUGGAUUAUACUCUUAAAUAUAACGGUUAUAACAUUUUUUGACAUUGAUGGUUCCAUGAUGGACUUUUAA
ensembl:lncRNA